GACGAACGCUGGCGGCGUGCUUAACACAUGCAAGUCGAACGAUGAUGCCCAGCUUGCUGGGUGGAUUAGUGGCGAACGGGUGAGUAACACGUGAGUAACCUGCCCCUGACUCUGGGAUAAGCGUUGGAAACGACGUCUAAUACUGGAUAUGACUGCCGGCCGCAUGGUCUGGUGGUGGAAAGAUUUUUUGGUUGGGGAUGGACUCGCGGCCUAUCAGCUUGUUGGUGAGGUAAUGGCUCACCAAGGCGACGACGGGUAGCCGGCCUGAGAGGGUGACCGGCGACACUGGGACUGAGGCACGGCCCAGACUCCUACGGGAGGCAGCAGUGGGGAAUAUUGCACAAUGGGCGAAAGCCUGAUGCAGCAACGCCGCGUGAGGGAUGACGGCCUUCGGGUUGUAAACCUCUUUUAGUAGGGAAGAAGCGAAAGUGACGGUACCUGCAGAAAAAGCGCCGGCUAACUACGUGCCAGCCGCCGCCGUAA
rnacentral:rRNA from 1 species